rnacentral:rRNA from 1 species
AUGGGGGAAACCCUGAUGCAGCAACGCCGCGUGAAGGAUGAAGGUCUUCGGAUUGUAAACUUCUUUGAUGAGGGACGAAUAAAUGACGGUACCUCAAAAACAAGCCACGGCUAACUACGUGCCAGCAGCCGCGGUAAUACGUAGGUGGCAAGCGUUGUCCGGAAUUAUUGGGCGUAAAGGGCGCGUAGGCGGUUUCUUAAGUCAGAUGUGAAAUCCCGGGGCUUAACCUCGGGCGUGCAUUUGAAACUGGGGAACUAGAGUGCAGGAGAGGUAAGUGGAAUUCCUAGUGUAGCGGUGAAAUGCGUAGAUAUUAGGAGGAACACCAGUGGCGAAGGCGACUUACUGGACUGUAACUGACGCUGAGGCGCGAAAGCGUGGGGAGCAAACAGGAUUAGAUACCCUGGUAGUCCACGCUGUAAACGAUGGAUACUAGGUGUGGGAGGUAUCGACCCCUUCCGUGCCGCAGUAAACGCAAUAAGUAUCCCGCCUGGGGAGUA